UUUACAAGGUUGGACCAAGAGGCUAU
rnacentral:piRNA from 1 species